UUUAGAGUGGCAGAGCAUAUGCGCUGGAUUUAAGCUCCAGAGAUGAGAUUUAUUUCUCCUUUAAAG
rnacentral:tRNA from 1 species